rnacentral:rRNA from 1 species
UUUAUGGAGAGUUUGAUCCUGGCUCAGGAUGAACGCUGGCGGCGUGCCUAAUACAUGCAAGUCGAGCGAACGGACGAGAAGCUUGCUUCUCUGAUGUUAGCGGCGGACGGGUGAGUAACACGUGGAUAACCUACCUAUAAGACUGGGAUAACUUCGGGAAACCGGAGCUAAUACCGGAUAAUAUUUUGAACCGCAUGGUUCAAAAGUGAAAGACGGUCUUGCUGUCACUUAUAGAUGGAUCCGCGCUGCAUUAGCUAGUUGGUAAGGUAACGGCUUACCAAGGCAACGAUGCAUAGCCGACCUGAGAGGGUGAUCGGCCACACUGGAACUGAGACACGGUCCAGACUCCUACGGGAGGCAGCAGUAGGGAAUCUUCCGCAAUGGGCGAAAGCCUGACGGAGCAACGCCGCGUGAGUGAUGAAGGUCUUCGGAUCGUAAAACUCUGUUAUUAGGGAAGAACAUAUGUGUAAGUAACUGUGCACAUCUUGACGGUACCUAAUCAGAAAGCCACGGCUAACUACGUGCCAGCAGCCGCGGUAAUACGUAGGUGGCAAGCGUUAUCCGGAAUUAUUGGGCGUAAAGCGCGCGUAGGCGGUUUUUUAAGUCUGAUGUGAAAGCCCACGGCUCAACCGUGGAGGGUCAUUGGAAACUGGAAAACUUGAGUGCAGAAGAGGAAAGUGGAAUUCCAUGUGUAGCGGUGAAAUGCGCAGAGAUAUGGAGGAACACCAGUGGCGAAGGCGACUUUCUGGUCUGUAACUGACGCUGAUGUGCGAAAGCGUGGGGAUCAAACAGGAUUAGAUACCCUGGUAGUCCACGCCGUAAACGAUGAGUGCUAAGUGUUAGGGGGUUUCCGCCCCUUAGUGCUGCAGCUAACGCAUUAAGCACUCCGCCUGGGGAGUACGACCGCAAGGUUGAAACUCAAAGGAAUUGACGGGGACCCGCACAAGCGGUGGAGCAUGUGGUUUAAUUCGAAGCAACGCGAAGAACCUUACCAAAUCUUGACAUCCUUUGACAACUCUAGAGAUAGAGCCUUCCCCUUCGGGGGACAAAGUGACAGGUGGUGCAUGGUUGUCGUCAGCUCGUGUCGUGAGAUGUUGGGUUAAGUCCCGCAACGAGCGCAACCCUUAAGCUUAGUUGCCAUCAUUAAGUUGGGCACUCUAAGUUGACUGCCGGUGACAAACCGGUGGAAGGUGGGGAUGCCGUCAAAUCAUCAUGCCCCUUAUGAUUUGGGCUACACACGUGCUACAAUGGACAAUACAAAGGGCAGCGAAACCGCGAGGUCAAGCAAAUCCCAUAAAGUUGUUCUCAGUUCGGAUUGUAGUCUGCAACUCGACUACAUGAAGCUGGAAUCGCUAGUAAUCGUAGAUCAGCAUGCUACGGUGAAUACGUUCCCGGGUCUUGUACACACCGCCCGUCACACCACGAGAGUUUGUAACACCCGAAGCCGGUGGAGUAACCUUUUAGGAGCUAGCCGUCGAAGGUGGGACAAAUGAUUGGGGUGAAGUCGUAACAAGGUAGCCGUAUCGGAAGGUGCGGCUGGAUCACCUCCUUUCU